rnacentral:miRNA from 14 species
AUACCAGAGUUCUAAAGUUUGAUCCUCUGAGCCACCUGCAUUAGAAUCACUUAGAGAAUGGCGAGUGGGGGCCAGGAAUCUGCAUUUUACAAAUGCCCCAGGUGAUUCUUAGGCAU